AUUUCUUUUCCUUAUUUGUUCCCCCUCCUCUACUAUAUAAAUAAGACCCCUCCCUUCAUUUAAAAAACACCAUUUUACUCUCAAUCACAAAAACUCUCUCAUCAUUCUCCCUUCUCUCAUUUGCUCUCUUGCUACUUAACAAAACAUUAAUACUCCGGUAAUUAUUCAAGUGUUCCUCUUUGCUUCUUAUUACUUUGUUCAAGUAAAGGUUGAAUCAAUUCGUUUUGCUUAACGGGUUAGCAUUCUUAACAUUCACACUAUUUUUACAUUCACAAUUUGUGUAAGCUAUUGUUUUGUAUGUAGAAUUCUUCAUUGAACGAUUGCAUAUUGUCUCACCUUAACUAACAAG
rnacentral:misc_RNA from 1 species